GGAAAUUGUAGUCCCAAAACAUCUGGAGGGCCGAGUUUGCCUAUGCCUUCCCUAAAUGUUAACUGGAAAAAGUAGUCCACCUUGUAGUGAUCGCUCUGAUCCAGCAGAUGGCGCCAUUACAGACACUCCCCCCCCCCUUUACAAAGACAACCAGCUAAUUAUCUCUAGCUGCCAGAAAGUGCGCUCUAGAUUGCAAAACUGCCAGCAGAGUCUGUUGUUAAUAUAUUCUUGUACACUGUGUAAGUGUAGGUGCUACAUAGUUAAUAAAUAUUGUUGGACCACCAUUUUCCUCCUCUCCUUUCACCCAAUCAGAGGCAGGAGUCAGCUGCAAACAGUGGGAGUGAGCCUUCCACACAUGGCUGAGCUCCUGAAAUGCCAAAGUCAGUGGGAUCGAAGCAGCCUGAGCGUAAUUGCAGCCAGCGCCUCUCUUCGCUGUUACAAAAGAAGCCUUUGGGAGCUUCCUGUUCAAACAAAACCGCUGCUGUUUUCCCAAGCAGAUAUUACAGGACCAGAGAUCACAAAGGACCAAAUGAAACUAUUCAUGUACAUGACCACGGCUACGCAGAUUCUGUCAGCCAAGAAAUGGAAAGACUGUACAACUCCAAAGGAGAGUGGCAGAUAAAAUGGAUGAACUAUGCCGAUAUGGCAAAACUUACAGGAAGAAUUAGAAACCAGGAAGGGGAGGUCUUUAAUAAAGAAUGGGGAAAGUUUAUAAUCUAUUUGAAAAACUAUUGUAAACAAUUGCACACAUUGGUAGGACUGACAGAAAACCUAUAGUAAAAAUUUGACUAUGGAAUGAUAAAGGAUUUAUAAGAAUAAUGAAAGAGAUGCAAAGGGGGAAAAAUCAUUAUAUUAAGAUCUACAAUGGAUGGGGGAGUCAAAGGGGAUUAUAUGUUUAUGUUUUUAUUUUGCUUGUUUAUAUAAAAUAGAAAAUGCAAAAUUAUUUUUUAAAGAAAAGAUCAGAGAGGCCUGUUCCUAGACUCAACUAGGUCAUGCCCCCUUAUCUUCCUGAGGGAGGAAGUGAAGCUGCUUCUCUGCCUUUUAAUCUUAUUCUCUCCAUGCCAUGUAACUGACCAGGAUGGACAUGUCUGAACAUGCUCAAACUUCAGCCCGCAUGUUUGAAACUAUAUUUUGUAUUUUGCACCCAAGAGUAAACUACCUGUGUUCUCCUUACUGCUGCAUAGAACAAUGCAUGAAUCAGACCUUUGGAUUUAGUAAGUAAAGCUUUUAAAGUUACU